rnacentral:lncRNA from 1 species
CAGCCCAAUAUGCCUGAUGCUCAAUCUCAACUGGUAAAUGACAUGCCUUUCCAAAGACAACCCGAUAGGGAGACAUCCCAAUGGGUGCUUUGUAGGCAGUCCUGUGGGCCCAAAGAGCAUCGUCCAACCUAUUGCUCCAAUCCUUCCUGUUGGGCUGGACAAUCUUCUCCAAAAUCCUCUUAAUCUCCCUGUUGGAGAUCUCAGCCUGCC